UACGGAGAGGGCUAGCGUUAUUCGGAAUUAUUGGGCGUAAAGGGCGCGUAGGCUGAUUAGUAAGUUAAAAGUGAAAUCCCAAGGCUUAACUUUGGAAUUGCUUUUAAAACUGCUAAUCUAGAGGUUGAAAGAGGAUAGAGGAAUUCCUAGUGUAGAGGUGAAAUUCGUAAAUAUUAGGAGGAACACCAGUGGCGAAGGCGUCUAUCUGGUUCAAGUCUGACGCUGAGGCGCGAAGGCGUGGGGAGCAAACAGGG
rnacentral:rRNA from 1 species